AGGAUUCACUCCACUUCUUGACCCUGUUAUGUAUUUAAGAAAGGAGAAGAAGCCCGGACUCGGGCUGCGGCAGUGUGGAGACCUGCCGUAAGGUGGAGGGCACAUCCCUCCCCAAGCCGGCCCUCGCGGAGGCGGCGCCGGCAGAGUCAAGGAACAUGUC
rnacentral:ncRNA from 1 species